AUUAUUAUUAUUAUUAUUAUUAUUAUUAUUGUUUUUAUUAUUAUUAUUAUUAUUCUUGUUUUGAAAGCAGAUGGACGUGUCUCCUGAAGCUCCGUAAGUUGUUGGCCAAUUUCACUGGAAAAUUUGUUAAAACUAUUAAUUAAUAUUUUUGCAUAUUUGUGUAGCCAAGCCGACUAGUUUCUUGCGGAGCUAGUCAGUUAGGUGGAAUUUUCCCCUUUCAGGUGCAAAAUUUUUGCUUGAAACUCUGAAUUUUUACUUUAUAACUUGUAAUUUUUG